GCCCCUAAAUCUUGAAACUUAUAAAUAAUAAUAAUAGCUAAAAUAUUUUAAAAAAUUUAUAAUAUUAUUUCGUAAAAAAAAUCUUCUUUGACUUAAUUUGAAUUAACAUGAAUUAAUUUUAUUUAAUUUGAUUUGAUUAUAUUUAAUUUUAUUUAAUUGGUAUAAUAAAAGUUAAUAAUAAUAUAUUUAUUUUAUUUUCUAAUUAAUAAUAAUAAAUAUAGGAUAAUAAAAGUUAUUAGUAUUGAUACCCUAAUUAUUAUUUCGUUAAAAAAUUUAUUUACUAUAGAAAGCAUAUAGAAAGCAUAAUAUUUCCUAAUUAUUAUUUCCUAAAAAAAUCUAAUCUAUUUUCCCUAAAGUAGAAAAUCUAUUUAUUAUAGAAAGUAUAUUAUUUCUUAAAAAUAUUUAUUUACUAUAGAAAGUAUAUAGAAAACAUAUUAUUUUCUAAUUAUUAUUUCUUUAAAAAAUCUAAUUUGACUUUAUUUUAAUUAAUUUUCAUUAAUUUUAUUUAAUUUGAUUUAAUUAUAAUUAAUUAUAUUUAAUUGAUAUAAUAAAAGUUAAUAAUAAUAUAUUAAUUUUAUUUUCUAAUUAAUUAUAAUAUAGAAUAAUAAAAGUUAUCAAUAUCGAUACCCUAAUUAUUAUUUUCUAAAAAAACUAUUUAGAAAGCAUAUAGAAAGCAUAUUAUUUGCUAAUUAUUAUUUUCUAAAAAAAUCUAAUUUGACUUAAUUUGAUAUAAUAGUGUGUCCAAAUUCUAGAUAAUUGUUUAAUUGGUAUAAUUUGACUUAAAUUGAAUUAAUUUGAAUUAUUUUUAUUCAAUUUGGAUUAAUUAUAUUUAAUAGUGUUUCCUAAUAAAAUCGUAAUUGUAUUUAAUUUGAUAUAAUAGUGUUACCUAGUAAAAUUCUAGUUAAUUCUUUAAAUAUAGAAUAGCAAUUUUAUAUACUUAGUGUAAUUUGACUUAAUUUGAAUUAAUUUUAUAUUUAAUUUGAUUUAAUUUGAUUUUUAAUAAAUUUAAUCUGAUUUAAUAGUGUUUCCUAAUAAAAUUGUUAAUCUAUAUUUGAGUAUAAUUAUAAUAAUAGUGUUUAAUAGUGUUUCCUAAUAGAAUUAUAGUUAAUUCUUUAAUUGGUGUGAUUUGACUUAAUUUGAAUUAAUUUGAAUUAAUUAUAGAAUAAUUGGUAUGAUUUGAGUUAAUUUGAAUCAAUUUGAAUUAAUUAUAGAAUAGAGUUUGACUUAAUUUGAAUUAAUUAAUUUGCAUUAAUUAUAGAAUAGAGUUUGACACGUGGCAAGCAUAUAGAAAGGCACGUGUCAGAUUCUCACAUAGGGAUCAUUAAGGGUUCUACUUUAGUAUAUAGUAAAGUAAUAGAUAGAUUAUAUGGUUUGCAUCCGCUUUCAGCUUUUUAACCUAGCCCAGAUGGAACAUUUCAACCCAUUAAGGGUUAAUUACACCAGUAGUCCCCAACCUUUCCAGCAAUUUUCCAUUGAGUCUUCAACCUUUUUUUUUUGCAAUUGA
rnacentral:lncRNA from 1 species